UCGAUGGCGACCGGCGCACGGGUGAGUAACACGUAUCCAACCUGCCGAUAACUCGGGGAUAGCCUUUCGAAAGAAAGAUUAAUACCCGAUAGUAUAGUAUUUCCGCAUGGUUUCACUAUUAAAGAAUUUCGGUUAUCGAUGGGGAUGCGUUCCAUUAGAUAGUUGGCGGGGUAACGGCCCACCAAAGCGACGAUCAGUAGCCGACCUGAGAGGGUGACCGGCCACAUUGGGACUGAGACACGGCCCAAACUCCUACGGAGGCAGCAUG
rnacentral:rRNA from 1 species